rnacentral:rRNA from 1 species
AACGAACGCUGGCGGCAGGCUUAACACAUGCAAGUCGAACGCACCGCAAGGUGAGUGGCAGACGGGUGAGUAACACGUGGGGAUCUGCCCAAUGGUACGGAAUAGCUCCGGGAAACUGGAAUUAAUACCGUAUGAGCCCGCAAGGGGAAAGAUUUAUCGCCAUUGGAUGAACCCGCGUCGGAUUAGCAAGUUGGGGUGGUAAAGGCGCACCAAGGCGACGAUCCGUAGCUGGUCUGAGAGGAUGAUCAGCCACACUGGGACUGAGACACGGCCCAGACUGCUACGGGCGGCAGCAGUCAGGAAUUUUGCUCAAUGGGGGAAACCCUGAAGCUGCAACGCCGCGUGAGGGAGGAAGGCCUUCGGGUUGUAAACCUCUUUUCUCAGGGACGAUGAUGACGGUACCUGAGGAAUAAGCCACGGCUAACUACGUGCCAGCCGCCGCAGUAAAAC